UCCACCCCCCCCCCUUUUUUUUUUUUUUACUUGUUAUACCUUCAGAAAUUGGUUAGGCAUUAUUAAAAUCAAUGGAGUUGGUAAAUUCUAAUCUGUCUCCUAUUGUUGGUUAUUUUUUUUCUAGCAUAUCUCAGUAACCUAGAAGCAAACUCAAGGAUGGUAGAUACCUGUUGGGAUUUUGGCAGAGGUAUGGGAGGAAAAGCCAAGGACUGCAAGGAAAGAUACUGAUGAGAUUAUUUGAAAUAAUAGCUUUGCUUAUAAAAGAAAUAAAUGGCUCCUACCCUCAAGAAGCUUACCAUUUAGAAGAAUAGACAAGCAAAUGUGUGUACAACAAGUAAAAUGAUGUUCAAGAUAUAUGAUUGGGUGAGGAAGCAGCAAAAGGAAGACAAUACUUCACUGGAAACUAGGUGGGCAAGCUGGAUUUAAUCUGUUUGGUUUGAUAUAUUUAUACAAAUACAGAUUGUCAAUUGUACAAUCUGACAAAUACAAUUUGUCAAUACAGAUUGACAAAUAAAGAUUGUCAAAAUCUUAACAAGUA